rnacentral:rRNA from 1 species
GACAGAGGUCCCAAGCGUUAGGCGGAAUCACUGGGCUUAAAGCGUGUGUAGGCGGACUUCUAAGUACCUUGUGAAAUCCCACGGCUCAACCGUGGAACUGCUUGGUAUACUGGUUGUCUUGGGCCAUCUAGGGGCUAGCGGAACAAACGGUGGAGCGGUGAAAUGCGUAGAUAUCGGAAGGAACAUCGGUGGCGAAAGCGGCGCGCUGGACCUCUUCUGACGCUGAGGCGCGAAAGCCAGGGGAGCGAACGGG